rnacentral:lncRNA from 1 species
UGCCGGGACUGGGGCAGCCCUUACACAUCCUGCCCCAAGCCACAGAACGCACUUCGGGGAGCAUGUCGGCUGCCAAGGAAACAAAGGCGGUGCGGGGUAGCAGGGUUCCCAAAUGGACUCAGCACACGCCCACCAGCAGGCCACGGGGAUGAAAGAGGUCACUGACGUGAGAGGAGUCUGCUGGGUGGGGGCUGGGCUAGAAGAGAACGUCUCCUCUUGCCUCCUGGACAGCUGUUUUCUCCUCUCCGCCCGCCCGUAUCGUGAAAAGCCGUCCAAGAGACAGAAGCAGAAACAGGAGCGCCCAAGCGGCUCCCUGGCGACUCGACUCGUUCCCUGCUUCUCAACUCCCUCCCGUGACUCCAGACUCUGGCGACUCCAUCUCGACUCCUGUGUCCUUCCGGGGGAAACCCCCUGCCCAGGACGGAACUGGAUGUCUUUGUCUUCCCCCCAGCAGCUCAGUCCAGCAGGAGACCACUUGCGUGCUAGGCCUGGUCGCUGAGCCUAGAACCUUACGCUGGCUCGGCUGCCAUCCCCUUCCCAUCCAGAGCUCAGCCCACCGGGUGGCAGACCCCCACGUUCACCUCGAGGUUCUUCCAACUCCAAGCUCUGGUGAGUGACGGGGAGGGCCCUCCUCACGUGUGCUGGUGCACUGCUUGCUUGGCAGGGGAGGGGGGGUGGGGGGUGGCAGGGCGGAAUGGGAGUGCUUGAAGCCUGUGUCCAGAAAGGGCCAGAAUAAAAUCCAUCUCUAUCGAAGGAUUCCGGGUGUGUGCAACAUGGGGGCUUGGUGGACCUCUCCACAGGCCCCUCCCUCCUCUCGGUUUCAGAGCCUCCAAGCCUCCCCCCGCUUGCUCACCCAUGGGUUCCCAGUGCCUCCUUUCCUCCUGCUGCCAUGGAGAGGUUUGGAUUGCUGUCUGGAAUGCCAGUGUUCUCUCAAGGAAGGGAGGC